rnacentral:rRNA from 1 species
CACUCCUACGGGAGGCAGCAGUGGGGAAUUUUGGACAAUGGGCGAAAGCCUGAUCCAGCAAUGCCGCGUGAGUGAAGAAGGCCUUCGGGUUGUAAAGCUCUUUUGUCAGGGAAGAAACGGUGAAAGCUAAUAUCUUUUGCUAAUGACGGUACCUGAAGAAUAAGCACCGGCUAACUACGUGCCAGCAGCCGCGGUAAUACGUAGGGUGCAAGCGUUAACCGGAAUUACUGGGCGUAAAGCGUGCGCAGGCGGUUUUGUAAGUCUGAUGUGAAAUCCCCGGGCUCAACCUGGGAAUUGCAUUGGAGACUGCAAGGCUAGAAUCUGGCAGAGGGGGGUAGAAUUCCACGUGUAGCAGUGAAAUGCGUAGAUAUGUGGAGGAACACCGAUGGCGAAGGCAGCCCCCUGGGUCAAGAUUGACGCUCAUGCACGAAAGCGUGGGGAGCAAACAGGAUUAGAAACCCGAGUAGUCC